rnacentral:rRNA from 1 species
UACGUAGGGACCAAGCGUUGUCCGGAAUCAUUGGGCGUAAAGCGCACGUAGGCGGCUUUCUAAGUCAGGGGUGAAAUCCUGGAGCUCAACUCCAGAACUGCCUUUGAUACUGGAGAGCUAGAGUCCGGAAGAGGUGAGUGGAACUGCGAGUGUAGAGGUGAAAUUCGUAGAUAUUCGCAAGAACACCAGUGGCGAAGGCGGCUCACUGGUCCGGUACUGACGCUGAGGUGCGAAAGCGUGGGGAGCAAACAGG